rnacentral:lncRNA from 1 species
CUUAGAGAUACAGACUUUAGGAUACAUGAGGAGAUGGAUACUCUCCAAGACCACUCUAUUCACUUGGAGCUGUGGACACCCUACUCCUAGCAAGACCCCAUGAAAACAGAAUGGAUGAUGCCUUCCAGGGGGAGGAUAAGGAUGUAAGUCUCUCCCCAGACCAAGCAGAAUGUGGAACAACCACAGGCCCUCUGAGAUCUGCAUCACCUUGUUACUGUGCAUGAGAGAGUCUAGGGACAAACGGGUUGUUCACUCCUCAGAGAGAGUCUUGUGCUACUGCAAAGUGAGAAAAGAACCCAAUGGGUGCAGGGGGAGACAGCAACAGCUGCAGCACCAACAAACACUGUGCAGGUCUGCAAGACAUCCAGAAAGGUAGCAAGGGUGGUUGGAAAAUAGAGAGGGGAGGAAAGCCA